GAAGUUGACGUGUUGACCAAGAACGGCCAAGAACAUGUCGCUUUGCUUUUCUUUACAGAAGUCGUUUUGUGGAAGCUUUAGGUUAAAUUUGAUUACAAUGUUAACCAGUUUUAAAAUAUCAAAUUAACAGAAAUGUCAUAAGUUUCUUGGGUAGUUAUAAUUGAAUCAACAAAUAUGAAAUAAAGAAAAGGAUGAAAUGGUGUAAAUGGAAUUUUGAUUCCUAACAAAAGGCAUAAGAAGUGGUACUGUUAAACAUCAAUAUUUUUGGAAAAUACUGUUUUUGGAUAAGUCCAUUUUUAAGAAUUACCACAUGUGAAGAAAUUCAAGUUGGUUGUAUCAAGCAAUGAUAAACUGAUUGAUCCAUAAUAUAUUAAUUAGAAAGAAGUAUCAGCAUUUUCGUGAUUUUCUAAUAUUAUUGCAAGUUUACCUUUACAACAAAGCAAGCUAAGUGACGAAAAAUGUAGAAAAUGUCAUUUUAUUCCUUCUUUACACAGAACAAGUUUCUUUUGGUUCAUUUUUAUAAUCUUGUAUAGUUAAAUAUGACAAUUUUAUAGUGCAGGUAUAAUUCAAAAUACUAUAGAAAAUGGCUUGGAAAAAAUAGAACAACUAACAAUGUUGAUAGAAUAUUUAAGAUUUAACAAUGUUUGAAAAGAGUUUCAAAACAACAUCAACAUCAUUUGUGUGAGGAGUGUUUUAAAGUAUCGACGAUUCUUUAGGAAUUGUUUUUUAUAUGCAUAGAGUUCUUUCAAUUUGAACUUAUUACCACUUUCAUUCUUAUUUUCUUGUGUGUUAAGACUUUUUGACUUGAAUAUGACAACGACUUUAUUUAAGUGCUUUAUUUUUUAUUAGACUUGAUUAAACUGGCCAGAGUC